CAGUGUGGCAAAUGUUGCCAACACCAGCGUGUAUUCACUCUGCAAGUUUAGAAAUGAUUCUACGCAGGAUGUUGACAGGGUCACUGUGUACCACGAAUUCAGAGACAACACAAACAACAUCUCCACCUUAGGGAUCUACUCAUUGGACAAUAACAGCCUCUACGUAAAUGGUUAUCAUGAAACAACACCUUUACCAACAUUACCACCAGCAUUGCCAACAACACACACUCCAAAUGGGACAGAGGAGCCCAUUGAAUUUAAUGUGACCUUCAUAAUCACCAACCUUGAGUUUACACAAAGUCUACAAGAUUCCAAUUCUUUGUUAUACAGUUCUGCAUCAAAUAUAA